UGUCUAAGUUUUGCUCCAAGUGCUGGUUCUUGAUUCAUUUCGGUUCAAAUACAUGUGAAUAAAUAUUACAAAAUGUUUUCAAAGAAAUAUGUGUUGAAUAUGUAUCAAAAACAGAUUUUACUCAGUUUGUCAAUAAUGUCAUCUCUACUAAUAAGGUAACAACUGAUUGGUUCUCACAGAGGAAACUACACUGCAAACAAGAUGCAGAGGAAGGAACAGAAGAAGACACAGAGGAAAAGUGUACCAUCUGUUUGUCUAUAUUGGAGGAAGGUGAAGAUGUCAGGCGCCUUCCGUGUAUGCACCUUUUCCACCAAGUCUGUGUAGAUCAGUGGUUGAUUACUAACAAGAAGUGCCCCAUUUGCAGAGUGGACAUUGAGGCUCAGCUGCCCAGUGAAAGUUGACACUGCUUUCCAGAACUCUUGUCCUCCCGCUCGCUCCCUCUCAUCCCUCCUGGUACUGCAGUCAACCAAAGAUGGCACGACUUACCUGCGCAGAUUUGGAACAUUGAACCUUAGAGUGCUGGCUCUGCUACAUGGUACAACUAAUGCUAGACCUACAGUUUAUUGUAGAAGACAGUUGAGUUUCUUUCAGUGUAUUUAUAAUUUUUUCUAAAUUUAUUUUUUUUUUUUUUAGGUUUUACAUUUUUUUUCUUUCAAUUCAUUACUGUAUUUUUGCAUGGUUCCUUGUAUUGCAUUUGUUUGCACAUAUUAUGGGCUUUGUGACCCCAAACUUGCAGGCAAGAUUAGCUGCUUUAGUAAGUAGAAUUGUGUGGUCUCUUUCUUUUGGUUUGUUUUAUGUAGUAUCAAGCUUUGAAAGUAUGAUUUCACUCAUUACUAACCUCGAAUUCCUUAAUUUAAUCAAUCAUAUAUUUUAGUUUAAAUGUAUAAAGAUCAUCUAGAAAAGGAUAAUAUUAUGUAUUGAGACAUUCCUUAAUUAGGAAAAAAUGGCUGCUGUAUAUUUACAAUAUCAGUUCUGAGUCAAAUAACAUCCUUAAUACUGGGAACAGAAUAUGGACUAUAUUCAGUUUGACUGAUACAUAUAGCAUACUCAUCACCAGAGUUUUUGUCUGAUCAGAUUUUUGUGUUUGUUUCUAAAAUUUCAGCACAAUGCAGAUAUAUUUGAAUGUCAAUAUUAAACAUUUAGACUGCUGUUCAGAUUGUAUUUAUCAUUUUCUUCUAUGUCUAGAAAUUUGAAUCCCUAACUUAAAUAUAUGCUGCUGUGAAACAGCUCUAGUGAACACUAAAUGUUGAUUUCAGUUAGCUGGAUUGUAGAUACUUGCAGAUUGAAAGACUUAUUAGGGAAAUGGAAAAGAAGCUUAGAAUCUGUUUGGUCUUCUGCUAACUUAAGUUGAAGUAUCUGCGCACAUUGAGGGUUGUUUUUUUUUCCUUUUGUUUUUGUUUUUGUUUUUUUUUCCUUUUUGUUGUUGUUGCUGUUUGGGUUUUGUUGUUGGUUUGUGGUUUUUUUUAAUAUAAAACCAUUCAGUAAGGACUUAAAGCUGCAGGGUUUUUGUUUGGGUUUAUAUACAUGCAUUCAUAGAAUUUCUAAGGAUUCCAGGCGUGUCUUGGGAUUUUUAUUAGAUUUAAAGUUAAUAAAGUUAGCUAAAUCCACUUGUCUCUUGUUUUUAUUUUUCAUUAGUAAAUUGAAAGCCUGUAAAUUUCUGUAGAAACUGAGACACAAAUUAUGUGGUUACCUAGUUUUUGCCUUGAUCAUAGAUUCCCUCUUUAUAAAUUACCAACAGUCCAUCACUGAUUGAAGUAUUUUCUAUAGUUAAGAUUUGCUGCAUAAUAUAGUAUAUAGAAUUAAGUUAUAAUGUACUAACGUUUUGCCUUUGGAGGAGGUUUUAAUCCACUUCAGGAUCCAAGUUGCUCAUCAACAUUCUUUCACAUAUAAUAGAUUAUAGUUUAUUUAAAUGUGCUCAGCAUUGCAAAAUGCAAAUGUGCAAAAACAUUGGGACAGUAUUUACUGUCACUUUGGAAAAGAUGUUCCUCGGGGAUCAUAGAUAAAUCAGCUUGCAUUAAGCCACCUGCUUUGUAAGUGGAUUGAAUAUUAAAUACUUUCAGUUUCUCUUG